CUUCAGCUGUUACUGUAGCCACCACUCCCACCAACUCAAAGGGGAAAGAUCCUACCAAGAGAGAAGGGCCCAUCCUGCCACAAGCUGUUUCUCUAAGCACUUUUUGUCACGGCUGCAGACUGGCGCCAUUACUUUUUGCAGUGGCUGUUGCCUUUGGCUCACCCCACAGACUGAGUGAGAGCCUGCAGUCUGCUACUGUUGGCUGUUCUCUCACCACAUAUGGAAAGGCAGUCCCUAGAGAAGCUAUGAACUGUCAUCAUCUUGUUAAAGUAUGGAACUCACAAACUGUAUUCAAGUAUUGGCAACACAUACUGGCUCAAAGUCAUGAAAUUUGGAGAGCACAAGCAAAGCGUAUUCAAAAGGAACAGAUCCUAAUAUCAGAUACUGUAAAAGUGCAGAAUGAGACAAAUACAAAGGGACAUAAAAAAUCUCAGACACAUUAAAGAAGAAACAAUUGAUCAACCGGAUAGGAAAAUUGCAAAAUCAACACAAUAAAUGCGGUAACUUUAAAAUAAA